rnacentral:rRNA from 1 species
AUGGCUGAAGGAACUGGUACUGGAAAGAGGAAUUAUGUCACAUGGGAUGAUGAGAUGGACACUGCCAUGCUUGAGGUACUUGUUCAUCAUCACAACAUGGGUGACCAUUCACAAAAUGGAUGGAAAGCACAUGUGUACAGUGCAGCUAUCAAGAAUGUGAAGGAGAAGUGCAAUAAGGAUAUCACGAAGAACAACAUAUUAGGAAGGUUUAGGACUUUUGACAAUCAAUUUGAAAUCAUUAACAAGGUCCUUUCUCAAAGCGGUUUUGGUUGGGAUUGGGUCAAUCAUAAGCUAUCCAUUGAUAGCAACCAUGUGUGGACUAAAUAUUUGGAGGUAACAUCUAUACAUUUCCAUUGUUUUAAUUAUUUUUUUGUAUGUAACAAAACAGGGCAGCAACAUCUAUACUUUGCUCGUUUGCACAUGGAUCCACCAUCGAACGACCAUCUCAUCUCUCCUUCUACCUUAUCUCUUCGGAGAUGA